rnacentral:rRNA from 1 species
GACGAACGCUGGCGGCGUGCUUAACACAUGCAAGUCGAACGGAAAGGCCCUGCUUUUGUGGGGUGCUCGAGUGGCGAACGGGUGAGUAACACGUGAGUAACCUGCCCUUGACUUUGGGAUAACUUCAGGAAACUGGGGCUAAUACCGGAUAGGAGCUCCUGCUGCAUGGUGGGGGUUGGAAAGUUUCGGCGGUUGGGGAUGGACUCGCGGCUUAUCAGCUUGUUGGUGGGGUAGUGGCUUACCAAGGCUUUGACGGGUAGCCGGCCUGAGAGGGUGACCGGCCACAUUGGGACUGAGAUACGGCCCAGACUCCUACGGGAGGCAGCAGUGGGGAAUAUUGCACAAUGGGCGGAAGCCUGAUGCAGCAACGCCGCGUGCGGGAUGACGGCCUUCGGGUUGUAAACCGCUUUCGCCUGUGACGAAGCGUGAGUGACGGUAAUGGGUAAAGAAGCACCGGCUAACUACGUGCCAGCAGCCGCGGUGAUACGUAGGGUGCGAGCGUUGUCCGGAUUUAUUGGGCGUAAAGGGCUCGUAGGUGGUUGAUCGCGUCGGAAGUGUAAUCUUGGGGCUUAACCCUGAGCGUGCUUUCGAUACGGGUUGACUUGAGGAAGGUAGGGGAGAAUGGAAUUCCUGGUGGAGCGGUGGAAUGCGCAGAUAUCAGGAGGAAUACCAGUGGCGAAGGCGGUUCUCUGGGCCUUUCCUGACGCUGAGGAGCGAAAGCGUGGGGAGCGAACAGGCUUAGAUACCCUGGUAGUCCACGCUGUAAACGGUGGGUACUAGGUGUGGGGUCCAUUCCACGGGUUCCGUGCCGUAGCUAACGCUUUAAGUACCCCGCCUGGGGAGUACGGCCGCAAGGCUAAAACUCAAAGGAAUUGACGGGGCCCCGCACAAGCGGCGGAGCAUGCGGAUUAAUUCGAUGCAACGCGUAGAACCUUACCUGGGUUUGACAUGGAUCGGGAGCGCUCAGAGAUGGGUGUGCCUCUUUUGGGGUCGGUUCACAGGUGGUGCAUGGCUGUCGUCAGCUCGUGUCGUGAGAUGUUGGGUUAAGUCCCGCAACGAGCGCAACCCUUGUUCACUGUUGCCAGCACGUUAUGGUGGGGACUCAGUGGAGACCGCCGGGGUCAACUCGGAGGAAGGUGGGGAUGACGUCAAGUCAUCAUGCCCCUUAUGUCCAGGGCUUCACGCAUGCUACAAUGGCUGGUACAGAGAGUGGCGAGCCUGUGAGGGUGAGCGAAUCUCGGAAAGCCGGUCUCAGUUCGGAUUGGGGUCUGCAACUCGACCUCAUGAAGUCGGAGUCGCUAGUAAUCGCAGAUCAGCAACGCUGCGGUGAAUACGUUCCCGGG